UACGUAGGUGGCUAGCGUUGUCCGGAUUUACUGGGCGUAAAGAGCGCGCAGGCGGUCGUUCAAGUCGCGUGUGAAAGCCCCCGGCUCAACUGGGGAGGGUCACGCGAUACUGAUCGACUCGAAGGCAGGAGAGGGUAGUGGAAUUCCCGGUGUAGUGGUGAAAUGCGUAGAUAUCGGGAGGAACACCAGUGGCGAAGGCGACUACCUGGCCUGUUCUUGACGCUGAGGCGCGAAAGCUAGGGGAGCAAACGGG
rnacentral:rRNA from 1 species